rnacentral:rRNA from 1 species
GCAGUCGAGGGGCAGCAGGUCUGUAGCAAUACAGACGCUGGCGACCGGCAAACGGGUGCGGAACACGUACGCAACUUUCCUUCAAGUGAGGAAUAGCCCAGGGAAACUUGGAUUAAUACCUCGUAAUAUUAUGAAGUGGCAUCACUUUAUAACUAUAGCUCCGGCGCUUGAAGAUGGGCGUGCGCCUGAUUAGGUAGUUGGCGGGGUAACGGCCCACCAAGCCUACGAUCAGUAACUGGUGUGAGAGCACGACCAGUCACACGGGCACUGAGACACGGGCCCGACUCCUACGGGAGGCAGCAGUAAGGAAUAUUGGGCAAUGGACGCAAGUCUGACCCAGCCAUGCCGCGUGGAGGAUGAAGGUCCUCUGGAUUGUAAACUUCUUUUAUCUGGGAAGAAAUCCAUAUUUUCUAAUGUGGUUGACGGUACCAGAUGAAUAAGCACCGGCUAACUCCGUGCCAGCAGCCGCGGUAAUACGGAGGGUGCAAGCGUUAUCCGGAUUCACUGGGUUUAAAGGGUGCGUAGGUGGGCAGGUAAGUCAGUGGUGAAAUCUCCGGGCUUAACUCGGAAACUGCCGUUGAUACUAUCUGUCUUGAAUAUCGUGGAGGUUAGCGGAAUAUGUCAUGUAGCGGUGAAAUGCUUAGAUAUGACAUAGAACACCGAUUGCGAAGGCAGCUAACUACACGAUCAUUGACACUGAGGCACGAAAGCGUGGGGAGCAAACAGGAUUAGA